rnacentral:rRNA from 1 species
UACGUAGGUGACCAGCGUUGUCCGGAUUUACUGGGCGUAAAGAGCGCGCAGGCGGUCGUUCAAGUCGCGUGUGAAGGCCCCCGGCUCAACUGGGGAGGGUCACGCGAUACUGAUCGACUCGAAGGCAGGAGAGGGAAGUGGAAUUCCCGGUGUAGUGGUGAAAUGCGUAGAUAUCGGGAGGAACACCAGUGGCGAAGGCGACUCCCUGGCCUGUCCUUGACGCUGAGGCGCGAAAGCUAGGGGAGCAAACGGG